AACAUAAAAAAGAAAGUAAGUAGAAAUGAAAUGACAUUUCGUGUAUCGUGUGCGUGUUUGUUUGCUUUUGUAUGUGAUGACUUUUUCUUUUUUUU
rnacentral:ribozyme from 1 species